ACUUCCCCUGCCAAUGGGUCCUUCAACUCAGAGAAGGGAGGGACACCAAGGAUGGCGGGGGAAGCCUUUGUCCAAGCUGAGGUCUGGAAAACAUUCCUCUGCAUUUCAUGGGCCUUUGGACCUCCUCCAUGUUGCUGACGAGCCUGGUUGUCUUGCAGCCAGUCAGACAAGGACCUGGACUGAGAGAGGGAGCAGGACUUGCUACACCCUCACCAUGCACUAUGCCCCCAAGUACCUGAACUUCAGGAUUAAUGUCACCAUGGCAUGUCGAGGACAGAGUCAACUACUCUUGUCAUGUUGCGGAGAAGUGAUGACCUAUCUGCUUUACAUGGAGCUUUGGACCUCCAUCUUGUUGCUGUGAUGAGCAUGAUUGCCUUGCAGUUGGACAAAGACCUGGGCUGAGAGAGGGAGCAGACUCUCUCUACUCUUGUGGUACGACCCAGACUGGCCCAUACACCACUCCUGUAUAAGUGGAAGACUGCUGAUGUUCUGGUCAGCACUGUACCCUCUUGUUGCUUCUGCAGGAUGGACAUCAUUGUGGCAUGUCAAGGACAGAGUGAACCAGACUGUCAUGUUGCAGAGAUGUGAUGACUAAUCUGCAUUUCAUGGACCUUUGGACCUCCUCCAUGUUGCUGGAAUGAGCAUAAUUGCCCUGCAGGGACCAGGACUAGUUUCACCCUCACUAACACAUGGG